GGAGAGGUGGCAGAGCGGUCGAAUGCGGCGGCCUCGAAAGUCGUUUUCCGAGUAAUCGGAACGGGGGUUCGAAUCCCUCCCUCUCCGCCA
rnacentral:tRNA from 1 species